CGACUACUGUAAAAACAUUACAGGACAACAGAUCCCAUCAAUCACCCAGCAGACAAGAACACACACUGCUUUCUGUUGCAACUGCAUUCAUAUAAUAACCGAACAGUAGAAAUUUACGGCACUAGAUACUCAAUGUCUCUACCUAUUUACCUAGUAUGCUGUUUGAACAUAAAAGAGGCUGAAUGUUAAAAGAACACUCCAAGGACCAUAACCACUAUAAUGCUCAGUAGUGGUUAUAGUGCCAGAAGUGCC